GUAAUUUAUUGACCCUACUUGACCUCCCCGAUUCUUAACCGAAUCAACACCAAUAACAUCCUUCAAUUUAGCUAUACCUACGCCACUGAAUACUCAAAUCAUCCGGCAAAGAUUAUCUAUAGCUCUCAACUUGUUAGAAGCAGUAUUGACAUAUCGAUAGCGACAAUCAGUCCUUUGUAUUCAACCGCAAAGAUGCACCAAAUGACUGCACUAAUUGGACUAUCAAAAGAGAAUUCAGUGGUAGAGUCUACACACAGCUGCUGGGUCUUAUAAUUCGAUGUUGCUCUCAUUAAACUCCGUAUCAAGUACCUGAAAAAAAAAA
rnacentral:lncRNA from 1 species